rnacentral:rRNA from 1 species
CCUACGGGUGGCAGCAGUGGGGAAUAUUGGACAAUGGGGGAAACCCUGAUGCAGCGACGCCGCGUGAGUGAAGAAGGAAUUCGUUAUGUAAAGCUCUAUCAGCAGGGAAGAAAAUGACGGUAACUGAGUAAGAAGCCCAGGCUAACUAAGAGCCAGCAGCCGCGUUAAUCCGUCGGGGGCAAGCGUUAGCCGGAUUUACUGGGUGUAAAGGGGGCGUAGACGGCAUUGCAAGUCUGGAGUGAAAGGCUGGGGCUCAACCCCCAGACUGCUGUGGAAACUGUACGGCUUGAGUGUAUGAGAGGUAAGUGGAAUUCCUGGUGUAGCGGUGAAAUGCGUAGAUAUUAGGAGGAACCCCAGUUGCGAAGGCAGCUUACUGGACUGUAACUGACGUUGAGGCUCGAAAGCGUGGGGAGCAAACAGGAUUAGAUACCCGAGUAGUC